ensembl:lncRNA
GGACUCAUAUCUUUCCAUUUAGUUAUUUGUUUCACUGCGAUGAAUCUUUAAUUCAAGCCAAAUGUGGGUCAAUUUCCAGCUGAAAAAAAUGCUUGGAAUGUAUUUAUCUACUGUCAUACCAGUGUCUCUUUUUAGUUUUAUGUAUGUGUUGAUUCAUGGCCUCAAUGGGGAGGUGAAUUUGUGUCAAUCUGUGAAUUGGCUUUGCUUGUUUGGCAAGUUUGUGAAGGGUUUGGUCAAUUAUAGAAGGGCUUAAAUAAUUGUAAUAGAGUAUUUCUGGUGCACUUCAGAGUAAAGAGGUAAGUCUUAAAAUUUUACGGAUAAUAACAAAAUCUCAGUGUAAGUACAUUUUUUCCCCAGCUAUUAUAUGCCCUUUUGCAAACAUAGGUUAAUUGGUCUUUUGCUCACACUUUUUUUCCAACUUCGAUAGCUUUCACAUCUUGGUAUGCAAAUCAGUUCCUACUCUAUCUGCAGUGAUGCAGUAUUCAGUCUCUGAGGAUAUCGAAAUAGUAGUUGCAUACUUGUCCUCCCAUCAGAAGUACCUAUAGUAACUACGUAACAUAGGCAUAUAAUGAGAAAAUACGGCAAUUUAAGGGUGAUUGUUCAGCACAACUUGGGCAUCUUGCAGUGCUGAGUUGUCUGGGAACAGGCUAUGGCACCCUGCUCUAGGUGUCUCUAUGUGAGCAGGGCUGGGACCAGAUGGACCCCAGGGUACCUUCCAUCUUCACCCAGCCUGUGGUGCUGUGCCCAUUAUUCUUUAGUAAGAUCUGUGAAGACUGGAUAUUUAAUUGUGCAGGGCUAAAUAUGAGUUCAGUUUUUCUGACUGCACUUUUGUGUUGAGCUUUUGUUGGUCACAUAGGAGAUGGAUAUAUGAGAAAAAUGCAUUACUUUCUGUCCUUUUUGAUCUGCGAAGAGAAUAUGUCGGAGGGAGGUUAAAAGAUUAAAUUAACACUCAUAUGCUUUAUGUAUAUGCUUAGGAGAAAAAAAACACAAAUGAAAAGCAAAACAAAAUAAACCAACACCACAACAGAAUUACAGAAACCUGUAUGGCUGUCUUGUAAAGGGAACCUAUUUUUCAUUCUUAGGCUCUCAUUGGUUAAAUGCAGAGAAUGAGUUAGUGCUGCACUAUGCCCCAUGCAGUUUUUCAUACAGUGCGCUCCUGUACCUACGCAGACUCACCAUGUUUUGCUCAUUUGGACCUGCUGCCAGCUCCAGUUAUGUGACCACCUACUCUUCUUCCAGGGAUCCCUGUCUCAGUGCAUGUGGGUAUCUUGCCUGUCAGCUUCCCCUGACCUUGUUGCUGCUGUUUGAGAAGUUGUGCCCUGACUAUCAAGUGUUUCUUUUGUGCUCCACACGUAUACUUCUGGUAUCAGUUCCUAGGUUUUUGAUAGCUGAUCCAGUAGAAUCUGAUCUGAGCCCAAGGUCUUUGUGAAGCAUGGCAAUACAGUAGGUGUCAUCUUUAGCAGAGCUGUAUCUUGAGUUUGUACCAUAAAAUGCUGCUUAUUGUACCUCUCUGUUGGAGGGUCAGUGGUAUGCUGUAGCUCCUAACUGCAGGCAGCCGCUCAUAAAGCGCCGUACCAAGUGGAUGCACUUGAUCUUAGCAGGCUUUGUCUGCUUUCAGUGUGAAAGAUAUUUGAUGUCCACCGUCAUCUAUGGUCUCUGAUCACUGAUGUAGCUGCUGGCAUCUCUCUGGAGAACAAGCUUGACCUCACCCUCAGCCCAUGGCGAUGUGUGCUGGCAGCUGCUAUCUGCACAGAUGGCAGGGUUGCGUUCAGACACUUGAGCCUCUGCUUUUUCUGCACCUUGAAAUUGGUCCUUGAUACGGUUCAUUAUUUAUUUAGUGCUGUAAUCAACCCAGCCAAAGAGUAAUCUGCAGUCCAGCUGGCAAGGCACUUAGCAGCCACAGUGGGGAAAUAGGUAAAUCCAACCCUCAAACUGCUACCUACUGAGAUGGGAGUGAAACUUGGCUAGCUCUGCUAAUUGCUAUCAGCCAUUUACGGUUGCAUGUUGCAUCGGUACAGAUUCUUGCAAAAAACUUUAUUUGGGGCUGCACACUGUAUGCUGUCCUGCUCAUAGGGAUACACAGACCUGUGAUGGCAGUGUUCUCACAGACGAGAAAUACCUGGCUAUGCUCAGACCUGGCUUUGCCUUUAGCCAAGUAAGUGGGCUUAUGCUGAAAGCAUUGGUGCCUCCAGGUAACACAUUUUGGGAGUGUUUUUUUUUUUUGCUUGUUUGUUUUUUGUCUAUUUGUUUGUUUUAAGCUUCACCAAAGAAGUAUGAAGGCAAGUAAACACUAGAGUACAAGUAGAUGCUCUGUAGACCCGUUUUUUUGUAAAUAGCAUGUAUAAAUGUAUUGAGACAUUGUGGAGUCUCUUUCUCUGGAGAUACUCAGGACCCAUCUGGGUGCUUUCCUACUAAACCCACUGCAGGGAACCUCCUUUUAGUAGAUGAUCUCCAGAGGUCUCUUUCAAACCCCUAUGAUUCUAGAUUCUAUAACCAGGCACGAUAGCACUGAAAAGUGUGAACUUUUCUCAGCAGUCUUAAUGGAGUGCUGGCUUUAAAAAGCUAAUUUAGCUGCUGCUUUCUAUGCAAUUAACAUUGAGCUAAUACAUUGGGUUAGUUCAGCUGUGUGGUACUUUGCUUAGUGUCAGGAUGGGUGUCGGCUCAGACACCACAAUGAAAACAUCUCUUUAAGGUAAACACGUCAUCAAAGAUCAAACAAAACCUGAGGCUAUGGAAACAGGUUGGAGCAAUGUAAUGAUAUUAUGAUUCCGUAUAAAUUAAUUUGAACAAAGUGCACGACAAAAAGGGAUGGAGUUGAGAAACGUGAAAU